rnacentral:lncRNA from 1 species
GAAGGCCUCCCAGGAAGGGAUCAGCUAUAAAAAGGACCCCAGAGAACUUUGCCUUGAAGAAGAGCAGUGCCUGUCCCAGGGUAGAGACACAGAGGUGACAAAAGGCCAUGGCCCAUCCCUGCCCAGAGAAAGCAUCAAAGGGGCCUCUGCCAAGCCAGCACCCAAAGACCCAAGGGGACACGUUAUUUCUGAUCACUCUCGACUCCUCAGGCAGGCCUGACUGCCCACAACAGCAGGAACAGAAGGGCCCGGUGCCAGCAUAGACAGGCUCUGCUGUAGACCACUGAGGGGGUGAAAAGGAGACAGACAGAGAGCUGCUGCUUUUUACAAUAAACUCUGUAUUGUGCACAUGAAGACCUGGAGAUGUGCCGACUUCCUGUCCCCAAAGCCAAUCUUCCCCGCCAAGGCGACUGAGGAUUUCAAGGGCUCAGAGUUACUGCAGGAAUCCAGGUGAGGAAACUGAGGCUCGUUACUGACUUGCCCAAGAUUCCACAGUGGAAGAGCCUGGACGUGAACUGCGUCUCCAGGUCUCGAACCAUUUCCUGUCCUGGUCCCAGGACCUAGGUGGGGCCGCCGCGCGGUCAGACAGAGCCGGCCCGCCUGGGACCCCUUGGCUGCCCUCGCCCCCCGGCCCCGCCCCCCGCAC